rnacentral:rRNA from 1 species
GCGAGGCGGAGCGAAUCGCUAAAAGCCGUCCCAGUUCGGAUUGCAGGCUGCAACCCGCCUGCAUGAAGUUGGAAUCGCUAGUAAUCGCGGAUCAGCAUGCCGCGGUGAAUACGUUCCCGGGCCUUGUACACACCGCCCGUCACACCAUGAGAGUCGGGAACACCCGAAGUCCGUAGCCUGACCGCAAGGGGGGCGCGGCCGAAGGUGGGUUCGAUAAUUGGGGUGAAGUCGUAACAAGGUACC